GCUGGGUGCAGUGGUGUGCACCUGUAGUCCCAGCUGCUCAGGAGGCUGAGGCAGGGGAAUCACUUGAAUUCAGGAGGUGGAGGUUGCAGUGAGCCGAGAUCACGCCACUGUACUCCAGCUUGGGUGACAGAGCGAGACCCUGUCUCAA
ensembl:misc_RNA Metazoa_SRP Metazoan signal recognition particle RNA